UGAGACGCGAGCAACUUACCAUGGCUUAAAUGUAGAUUGACAGGUUUAGAGAUAGACUUUUCUUCGGACAAUUUACAAGGUGCUGCAUGGUUGUCGUCAGCUCGUGCCGUGAGGUGUCAGGUUAAGUCCUAUAACGAGCGCAACCCCUAUUGUUAGUUGCCAGCGAGUAAUGUCGGGAACUCUAACAAGACUGCCGGUGCAAACCGUGAGGAAGGUGGGGAUGACGUCAAAUCAUCACGGCCCUUACGUCUUGGGCUACACACGUGCUACAAUGGCCAGUACAGAAAGCAGCUACCAGGCAACUGGAUGCGAAUCUCAAAAACUGGUCUCAGUUCGGAUUGGAGUCUGCAACUCGACUCCAUGAAGCUGGAAUCGCUAGUAAUCGGAUAUCAGCCA
rnacentral:rRNA from 1 species